rnacentral:rRNA from 1 species
AGCAGCCGCGGUAAUUCCAGCUCCAAUAGCGUAUAUUAAAGUUGUUGCAGUUAAAAAGCUCGUAGUUGAAUUUUAGGCCUGGCCGGGCGGUCCGUCUUUGGCGAGUACUGUCCUGUGUCGGGUCUUCCUUCUGGUGAACCAGUAUGUCCUUUAUUGGGUGUGCCGGGGAGCCAGGACCAUUACCUUGAAAAAAGUUAGAGUGUUUAAAGCGGGCAUUUGCUUGAAUAGAUUAGCAUGGAAUAAUAGAAUAGGACGUUGUGGUUCUAUUUUGUUGGUUUCUAGGACCACCGUAAUGAUUAAUAGGGAUAGUUGGGGGCAUUAGUAUUCAAUUGUCAGAGGUGAAAUUCUUGGAUUUAUUGAAGACUAACUAUUGCGAAAGCAUUUGCCAAGGAUGUUUUCAUUAAUCAAGAACGAAGUUAGGGGAGUCGAAGACGAUCAGAUACCGUCGUAGUCUUAACCAUAAACUAUGCCGACUAGGAAUCGGGCGACGUUAUUUUCAUGACUCGCUCGGCGCCUUAUG